AUUGAACGCUGGCGGCAGGCCUAACACAUGCAAGUCGAACGAGUGGCGGACGGGUGAGUAAUGUCUGGGAAACUGCCCGAUGGAGGGGGAUAACUACUGGAAACGGUAGCUAAUACCGCAUACCAUCGGAUGUGCCCAGAUGGGAUUAGCUUGUAGGUGAGGUAACGGCUCACCUAGGCGACGAUCCCUAGCUGGUCUGAGAGGAUGACCAGCCACACGGGAACUGGGACACGGUCCGGACUCCUACGGGACGCAGAAGGGGGGAAUAUGGCACAAUGGGCGCAAUGCGGAUGCAGUCAUGCCGCGUGUAUGAAGAAGGCCGUCGGGUUGUAAAGUACUUUCAGCGGGGAGGCGUUACCCGCAGAAGAAGCACCGGCUAACUCCGUGCCAGCAGCCGCGGUAAUUC
rnacentral:rRNA from 1 species